rnacentral:lncRNA from 1 species
CUGAACUGUGUGAAUAAAAAUAUUGCAUGCAAUUCUGAACCCUGACUUGAAAAUAGGACACAUCUUCAAAGACAGUAAGGAAAAGAAAUAUAGAGUGAGAAGAGAGAAAGACUGGAAGAGGAUAGGUUCUUCUUAAGCCAUGACCCGGAAACAGGACAGCAUGCACUCCAACGUGGCUGGCUGGAACUCAAACUCAGCCACACCCAACUCCAAACAAAUCUGGGAAAGAGGUUCUAGCUGAGAAGAAAAGAAAGCAUGAAUUCUAAUUAACAGCUUGCAUUCUCUGCUACAGCUUAAGUUUCUCAGUGCUUAGAAGCACUGAUCAGGAAUUGGAUCCAUGGUGCUACCCAGAUCCCUCAGAAGGCAUAUCCCUGCCUGGUGGAUUUUCGAUUGGAAUAAAAUAAGAUGACAUGAAUGUACAGAGACGAUGGAUGGCUUGAGCUGAUGGGCAGCAUUUGGAAUUGGGUUUUGUUUUCUUCAAGAACUGUGGUGUCAUUUUUCUUCGUCUUUCCCUGUCUCUGCUGAUUCUGUCUAGGGGAUGUCUUUUAAUGUGAAAAAUUGAGUAAUAGCUUCAUAAGAAGUCCUGAGAAAACAACUCCUGGAUUCCAACUUAUCUUCAGUGCACAUAACCUUCUCCCACAGAGUGAAGGGCUUAUUUUUAUUCAAUUAAGCCUCAAUUAUGUUCCAAGAAAUCAGUCUCCAGACUAAAUGUGAGCAAGUAGCAGGUAAUAAACAAACAAGACACAUCAUGCUUUUGCCUUGGGCUUCUUUGAAUCACUUAUGUCUGCUUUAAAGAGUUUUGGUGAGGUAAGUUUUAAAUUUUCAGAAUGUUCACUUAAGCUAUAAAUCAGAGGCUUCCAGUAUCUUUUUGCUAGGACUGGAAAUGAGACAUGAGUGAGGUUAUGGCGUGCACACACAUACCAUCCAAGGGCUAAAGGAAACUAAGACCAACAAAAAUAAUUCUUAAAACCCAAUAAAAUUCACAUGUUAAAAUAAUUAUUUUGCAGACAUUAAAUGGUAGUAUGCAUAAAGUAAAAUUACAAAAUAAACACUAAAACACCAAGCUCCUUCUCACUCUCUUGCCACCACACUUCUUUUCUGACACAGUGACCAAGGCAUAAUCUCCAAGUAUCUUCAUUCAAAUGGGGCUAGCUGGUGCAA